GCCUGGUUGGCUCAGUGGUUGAGCGUCUGCCUUCGGCUCAGGUCAUGAUCCUGGAGUCCUGGGGUCAAGCCCCACAUCAGGCU
rnacentral:tRNA from 1 species